GCUCAGAGAACUGACCUUGACCUGGCCCUUACAGUACGUCACUAAGUACAUUAGCUCGCGUGGGUCUCUUUGCAGUCAAUGCAAUCUGGGACUAGAGCACUCCUGCAGCCAUGGCAACCUCAUGCUGCGUGGUACCCAGAACAAGGGCUGCAGUGGGAUGACAUGUAAUACAUCUAAAAUAACAGCUUCUCAGUGGGAGAGAAGAUUGAUGAGCGAGAUCAACUGAUGCAUGGUUGUUCUCGAAGAUUGGAGAUUACUGUUGGAAAUUAAUACAGUCUGCCAAAUUAGGAACCGGCGAAAAAAAACAUUGAAACUGGUAGACCAGAUGGCAACAUCAAUGAGGCUGCCACAGUCCCCUUGAAGAAGAGUGGAGGUAGACUAGUGUGUGGGGACAAUGGACCAUAACUUGGACUAUGGGGAACCACAAGAGGAGGAGGUGUUCUUUGAAAACUACAAGCCUCCCUCUCGGGACGCUAUCACCCUGCCCAACUAUGUUAUCUAUCUGUUCCUAGCAUCGGUGGUGGCUCUGAUCGCCCUGUACGCAAUCAUCAGGCACCUCAUCAAAGAGCUGAUUCAUGACCUAGCAGACUACCUGUUUGGGGUACAGCCUGACGAGGAGGUGGUUAACCCCUGGGAGUGUAAGGACAAGUUCCAGGUGGACUGGUGUCCAGAGACCAACGCUGAGCUGGAGGCUAUGGUCAAGGCGGAGGAGAUCCACUGCCUGAUGGAGGGCAACAAGAACAUGCCUGCCAUCUGGGUCAUCUCAGACGGACGUGAGCCACGGCCCCCACGCACGGGCCCCAGGGUCGCCUUCGGCAGGAUGAGCUAGCUACAAAGGGGCAGACACACAGACUCAGACUGCUAGGGACAAGGCAGGGUACAGCAACGUGGCAGAUGCACUGUAAACUGUAAGCCAAAAGAGAUAUACUGUGUUGUAAUCAUGUACUCAUUACUGCAUUACACAAUAAUCUCCACAUGCUGGCAGCAUGCCAAGAGCUUCAUAAGUGACCAGUCCUUGUUGUAUUGUUAGUGUUUAGACUAGGCCCUAGACCUCCUUUUGACCAUAUGAAGAGGAAAUGCUUUCAGGACUUUCAACUGUGAGCUAUGUUGUUGAACACGUUUAUUCCGUAUGGUUUCCAAUUUUAAACCAUUUCUCUCACAAAUACUCUUGUUUUCUAUUUAUUGCACAUUUAUUUUAUACAAUAUUACACAUUUGCAUGCUAUCCAGUUAACACAUGGCAUGAUCGUUACUGAAAGCUGGUUUCAGGAACAAAUGAAAAGUCAUGAGUUUGGAGUGGACACACCUUUCAGGCAAUAAAAUCUGCUGGUAUCAUUGGCAACAUGGUGCAAUCUGGUUGCUCUCUGUGCUGUAUACUGCACUUUGACCUCACAGGACGUUACCAGUCCAGAAGGAGUAUCGUGACAGUGAACAGGUUCUACACAACACCAACCUCAGAGGCCUCCUGGGAUAAACAAGGAUUCAUAAUGUCUCUCCACAAAACUUUCCAGGUCUGCUUAUUACUGGCUGUUUGUGUUAACCAGGCCCAGAGUGGUUUGCCAAACGGUAAGUCAUCAUCGAUGAUCAAUCAUACUGGCUAGAUAUUGAUGCAAAGCACUGUGUUUAACAACAGUUAUGUCAUAAUAACCUCACCUUGCACCUUCCCUCUGCGGUUGGCAUUAUGUUACAGCUGGGUACACUGUUAGUCAGUACUAGCCAGCGAUGUUUAACUCUUUGUUCAAAUAUCUUACAUCAUCAUGAUAAUAUAGUCCACAUACUAUCAAUGGUGUGGUAUCAAUGAUCAAAUCAAGUUUUCUGAUCAAUACAUAACCAUUUAUUCCUUAUAUAGGAGGCUUACGGCUCACUACAUCCAAGGGUGGGACCCUGCAGCCUUGGCUUGUUGGUCUGGCUGCUGUAGUGGGAUUCCUCUUCAUCGUCUUCGUCAUCCUUAUUGUACAAAGGCUUUUCUUCAAGAAGGAAAAGUGAGUACCACAGAGGUGAUAACCUAAAUGCACUGCACCUGCAUAUAUUCUGUGUACUUAUAUGGUACUGGUGACACUUGUUGUAAAGUGGGACGACAAGGGUAAAUAUCUAAGCAAAAAUAAUCUCCUUAACCUUAGAGACCCUAUUAAAUUACUAUUCUAAUUCCUAAUUCUAUGUCCUAAACAUUGUUUUGACCAUUCAAUACAUAAAAUUAUUUAGCUUAUUGCUGAUUUGCUAUACUAUUGUCUUAUCAGUGCAGGCUGCUAGCCAUCUGCCAAGGUAAUAUUCAGUCAGUGACUACAAUAACAAGUUCACAGAGAUGACCUUGUGUAACAGGCACCAGCAACCUGACUCCAGUGGUUUAAAGUACUUUAGUAAAAAUACUUUAAAGUACUACUUAGGUUGUUUUUUGGGGUAUCUGUACUUUACUAUUUAUAUUUGUCAACUUUUACAUUUAUUUUACUACAUUCCUGAAUAAAAUCAUUUACUUUUUAAUCCAUACAUUUUCCCUGACACCCAAACGUACUCGUUACAUUUUGAAUGCUUAGCAGGACAGGAAAAUGGUCAAAUUCACACACUUAUCAAGAGAACAUCCCUGGUCAUUCCUACUGCCUCAGACUCACUAAACAUAAAUGCUUUGUUUGUAAAUAUGUCUGAGUGUUGGAGCAUGCCCCUGGUUCUCUGUAAAUAAAAUUAAAAACAAGUAAUAUGGUGCUGUUUGGUUUGCUUAAUAUAAGCAAUUUGAAAUUAUUU
rnacentral:lncRNA from 1 species